CGGCCAAUGGUGUUUGUGGGUUCUGGACAUCUUGUUCACACAGCAGAACAACGUCUAAACACCAUCUGUACCAACCCAGAGAGCUGAAGUGGGCUAAAUGUGAGCAAGUCCUCAAUGAUGUUCUGUGUCCUCUGUUCCAGACCUGCCUCCUUCCUACUGGGUGUCUUAAGGUCCUGUCUCCCAACAACCCACACCCACCACAGCUGACAGGAGUUCAGCUGCAGAUGGAUUUUUUUUACAUCGUUUCUGGGGUGGUCAGAGUUGGUCAGUCAGUCACUCACAGAUAGGCAGAGCCCCUGUCAGUAUGUUACUGUAGUUGUCAAUGUACUGGCCACUGAUCUUCACCCUGUUUAUGAGGUGUUUGAAGAUAUGACUUAGUCUUCGAUGAAUAUUUAGUGACUAUGCUGUGAUGAAGUUGUCAGUUGUUGAUUUAAAUGACCGUUCAGCUCAGAUGUUGUUUCCAAAUGUUAAACAUGUCAAAUUUAAACUCCAUUUCUGUCCAACUGUCACCAUUUGGCCUUAAAUUGCAUUUAAUCUCAUUCAACAGUCUGGACUUCUAGCUCUGGUUUGUCUCCUCUGCCCAGUCCAUUUUCUACUAAAGGCUUGGCUGCCCAUCUGUGGUAUUUAGACGACGUGUUGGGAGGCCUCCCAGCAGGGGACUAGUGUCCUCUGCAAAGUGACUCGUUUUAUUAGAUACAUACAGGGCUAAGUAGUCAACUUUAUAAACAGCUGGUGUAAUUUGGGGGGAGUACAGGUUAGAUUGCGCGUUUAGAUUCUUUAAUAGGACAUGAACUUGGCAGAGAGACAGACCAAGACUUGGUAAAGAUUAACUUCAUAUUUACAACUUCCUUAAAUAAAUGUGUUGAGAAGUUCUGUGGGCUGAAUAGUAGAAGCUGAAGGGACUGAUGUAGAGCCCUGGUACUGAUGCCAACCAGUUGUUGAAGGUUGCAGUUUGUUCCGAAACUUGGUGAAACUGAAAAAUAUUUUAAUUCUGUGGUGCAGUUUUUAACUCUUUAUUUUGGAAAGUUUAGAAAGGUAAAUCAAGCUGAUGGUGGACUUGUAUAAUUUGUCAACAGUUUAGUUGAGGAACAGAUUUAGUAGUAAACUCUCCCAUGUUACCACCACAACAGUGGUCUUCUGGGCUAAAGUGGGCCACUUCGUAACUGUUUGAAACAAUGGCUUGUCCAAUGUUUCCUGUCAAUAGUCUUCCAGGUCAACUCAGGGAAAUCAUGGUGAUGAAGAGGUGGUGGUCAGGUGGAGCAGAUCUCUGUCCUGGUUCUGACUCAGGUCAGUUGUCCCUCGGUCCUAAAGUCAGUUGUGAGAACGGCCUUUGAACUCCAUCACUGCUGCUGGAAAAUUAGUUGUUAGAGUACUGGGUACUGAUUCGGACUCCGUGUAAGGUUCUGAUCCCCAUUCAUUCAAAUGGGUUCAGGUUCUUAAACUACAAGUUGUGAUCAAAGUAUUUUGAUAAUUUCAGCUGAAAGUACAGUUGUGUGUACUGCAUUUUCCCCAGUGUGGGAUCAGUAAGGCUCAGUGUAAUUUAAUCUAAUAGACUGGUCAUGUGUGGAUGGAAUGAGCCAAGUUUCCCGCUACAGAACAAAGUCAACUGAGAUCAUUCAUCAGUUUGGGGCUGGAGUGAUUGACAGUUCACCUGGGAGAUGUUGCUCACUUGUGUUAAAUUAAUCUACUGGUGUUUAAUCUGGGUUAACUGUGUGAAACUAUUGGUGGUGUAGGCCUUACCCAAGCUGUUAUGACUGACUGAACAUGGUAAGAUCAGUCAGUUUAACAGGUAAGAUGGACUCCUCAGUAUUGCAUGUCCCAGACAGCUGUGGAGAUCUGGCCCUCUGGGCUGUAGGGUGAAUGUGGACCAACUCCUUGGUGGAAAGAUCUUCUCAGCCACCGGAUGUCUUCAGGAUUCUAUGGACCAGAGUUCACCAAAUCUGGAGAAGUGUGAUCCUGGUUAAAGGGACCUGAGGGUCUUUAACCCAGUGUAGGAGUCCACCCUGUCAUUGGAGAAGAUUUGUGCUGCUGCUGCAGAGUUCACCUUGAAUGACACAGCUCCGGCCAAUGGUGUUU